rnacentral:lncRNA from 1 species
CUCAGCUGAGCCUGGUAGAUGCCAGCUGACCGGCUGCAGCCCCUGAGUAGAGGUUGGCUGUCCUAGCAAUAGAGUAGGGCGGGGGCACAGCAGACAUGGGACCAUCAUCUGGAUUCCUAGACGUGCAACUGCAAGCUUAGAAGAAAUAAAGGAAAUAUCCCAGGAGCAAAAACAAAACACACACAUGCUCCUCUCAAGAGUCACUGGCAUCCCAGCUGAAAAGUCAGCUCUACACCUAUGGGACCUAUGGGCCUGUUUCUGAGCUCUGUUUUGUCUCUUUGGUCUGAGUGUCUAUCUGAGGCCAAUACCACAGUACCAAAUGCGAUUGCUUUAGAGGAAGUCUUGAAAUCAGAUGAGGCUGAAGGCUGUUGAAUUAUGAGAAAGCGUCAUUUGAAGAGAUGGAUGCCUGUGACCCCGCCAGGCUCUGCAGACCUGGAGGCGGCUCCAGAUCUGGGGUGUGCGGCGCAUUGUGUGUCCAACAGGUGAUUAACUCUGCUGGUGACAUGUGUUUUUAGAUAUGUGUGUCUUUUCUAUGAGAGUAAAUCAUAAAGCCCACAGGAUGUGCAAGCAGCCAUUCUCGCUGGCCAGGCGGUGUUAGCGCUUGCAACGCACAUAGAUUAUAUCCAGGAGGAUGCAGUCAAUACUUUCUGGGUCCUUUUUAGGUUUUGG